GAUGAACGCUGGCGGCGUGCCUAAUACAUGCAAGUCGAGCGAACAGACGAGGAGCUUGCUCCUCUGACGUUAGCGGCGGACGGGUGAGUAACACGUGGAUAACCUACCUAUAAGACUGGGAUAACUUUGGGAAACCGGAGCUAAUACCGGAUAAUAUAUUGAACCGCAUGGUUCAAUAGUGAAAGACGGUUUUGCUGUCACUUAUAGAUGGAUCCGCGCCGCAUUAGCUAGUUGGUAAGGUAACGGCUUACCAAGGCGACGAUGCGUAGCCGACCUGAGAGGGUGAUCGGCCACACUGGAACUGAGACACGGUCCAGACUCCUACGGGAGGCAGCAGUAGGGAAUCUUCCGCAAUGGGCGAAAGCCUGACGGAGCAACGCCGCGUGAGUGAUGAAGGUCUUCGGAUCGUAAAACUCUGUUAUUAGGGAAGAACAAAUGUGUAAGUAACUAUGCACGUCUUGACGGUACCUAAUCAGAAAGCCACGGCUAACUACG
rnacentral:rRNA from 1 species